GAUGAACGCUGACAGAAUGCUUAACACAUGCAAGUCUACUUGAACUUCGGUUUGGGUGGCGGACGGGUGAGUCACGCGUAAAGAACUUGCCUCACAGAUAGGGACAACAUUUGGAAACGAAUGCUAAUACCUGAUAUUAUGAUUUUAGGGCAUCCUAGAAUUAUGAAAGCUAUAUGCACUGUGAGAGAGCUUUGCGUCCCAUUAGCUAGUUGGAGAGGUAACGGCUCACCAAGGCGAUGAUGGGUAGCCGGCCUGAGAGGGUGAUCGGCCACAAGGGGACUGAGACACGGCCCGUACUCCUACGGGAGGCAGCAGUGGGGAAUAUUGGACAAUGGACCAAGAGUCUGAUCCAGCAAUUCUGUGUGCACGAUGAAGUUUUUCGGAAUGUAAAGUGCUUUCAGUUGGGAAGAAAAAAAUGACGGUACCAACAGAAGAAGUGACGGCUAAAUACGUG
rnacentral:rRNA from 1 species